ACCUGAGGCAUCGUCGUUGUCUUGUGGUUAAGUACUUAAUCUUUGAUUAUGUCAAAGUCUCCCCAUUCGAGGGCGUCCACGGCAUAAUUGGGGUUAAGCAACUUAGUCAUGAAGGCAAGUGUAUGCGCAACAAGGAAUCUCUAAUCCUCGAUAAGAGAGGAAGAAUACUCUAAGAUAUGAUUCGGGAAUCUUCGGUCGAAGUAUCGAGCGUAAUAAAGGAAAGCGUUCCUAUACGACUCAAUUGGAUCAUAUA
rnacentral:lncRNA from 1 species